AAGAGGAGAUUCCGAGUAGUGGGGAAGUAGCUAAUUUCAGCCAGGGAAACUCCGGUUGCUUUUUCUUUAAUAAAGUUUUUAAAAGGAUCAAAGGAUAGGGUUUUUCUUUGAGCAUCCUCACAUGUAUUGGACAGAGCCAAGUUGGAAGAGAAGAAGCAGAGAAGCUCAAAACCAUCAUGAGAAUCCUCUCCAAUCAAUCUUAAAAUAACACCACAAAACAAAUGCAGGGGUAAAAAGAACCAACAAAGAGAAAGAGUGAAACAACUUUCAAGAAGAGAGAAACCUAAAAGAGUGGAUCAUGGCCAGAUAUGAAGAAGAAAUGGAUCUCAUUUUG